UACGUAGGGUGCAAGCGUUGUCCGGAAUUACUGGGCGUAAAGGGCGCGUAGGCGGCCUUCUAAGUCAGACGUGAAAUCCCCCGGCUUAACCUGGGAACUGCGUCUGAUACUGGGAGGCUUGAGUAUGGGAGAGGGAUGUAGAAUUCCAGGUGUAGCGGUGAAAUGCGUAGAUAUCUGGAGGAAUACCGGUGGCGAAGGCGGCAUCCUGGACCAUUACUGACGCUGAGGCGCGAAAGCUAGGGGAGCAAACGGG
rnacentral:rRNA from 1 species